CCUAGCUCAGGGAGCAGUGGAGACAGGUGAUCUCAUCCUGUCAACCCAAGCAACAUGGGUCUCACUGAGGCUCAGAUGGAAGAUCCCAUGCAUCUCGUGGAGAGGAUGUGUCCAGGAUCCUGGAUAAUGUUUUCUGCAGGAGGUUUGAACGGGGAGAGAUCACUCACUGUCACGACCCAGAGGUCUUCAACCCGGGGCUGUAGGGUUCAUGGAAGCAGCCACACUCCAACCCUCCACCUGGAAGCCUGCUGAAAAUUGCUUACCAAGGACCCAGGAAGUUCAGCCCCAGUUUGAGGCGCCACUCCUGAGGUCCUAUUGGAGGAGUCCCAGAGAAGCUAAUUGGCCCUCUGGCCCUGCUUAAGGCAGCAGCAGGAAAAGGAAACUGACAGAACACCAGGGCUGUUCCCUGUUCUGGACCGUGUGCUGCCUGUUUCUGCCGCCGCUCCCCUGGCUUGAUUUCCUGCCAUCUGAUUUGUGGUUGUGAUCGCAAGUUUCUCUUGUGCUUCUGAUCUUCCAGAAUCCUGACCCAGCUGAGUCUCAACUCAGGUUAUGGCUCACAAUCCAUCUUGGAGCUGAACACCAGAUGGGAGCUGAUAGAUUGUCCUUGGUGGGCCAUGUUCUUGUGUGUGAUGGAGCUGUGUGCCAGAGAGGGCCAGGAGAAGA